rnacentral:lncRNA from 1 species
GGAAACUGGAUGUUCUCCUAAAACAGCCACCUAGCCAAGCUGAACCAACAGAGAUGUAUUGAUCACCGGGUCAAUGGAACUAGGUGGGUGCUGGGGGGAAAGUCAGCAGGUAAGUCAGGUGAGGACUGCCUCCCUUCCACUCCCCACCCAGAGACUGAAGACAGACAGACAGACAGAGGCGUUCAUUCAGAAAGAAGUAGGAGGGCUUCAGGGAUUCAGCGGAGGAGACUGAAAGCCUGAGAGACGAUGCCUCUGAGAAGGUUACAGACCUUGGGAGAAAGCGCUUUCACCUCCUCACCACAGACACUCUCGACUGUGGACUCAGGACACUAAGCCAGAAAGGUGACGAUUUCCUUCUUGAACCCGGCCUGCAUCAGCAGCUCAGACCCAGGGCUCCGGGUCCUUUGCUCUAUGUCCAGUGCUCUUUUUGCUCCCUCACACACUUAGCGAUGGCAGUGUUCUUAGUAUACUCAAAGAGCUUUGUAAUGAAUUAGAGCAGCCAUUCCCAACCUUCCUAGUGCUGCGGUCCUUUAAUACAGUUUCUUAAGUUGUGGCGAACCAUCCCCCCCACCCCCAACCAUAACAUUAUUCUUGCUGCUGCUGUUAUGAAUCGUAAUGAAACAUUUGAUCUGCAGUACAUCUGAUAUGUGAUUCCCGAGAAAGGGCCAUCAUAUUCCAAGGGAUCGGGACCCACAGCGUGAGAAGCCCUGAACUAGAGAUCCGCCUAAACUGAGAAACAACCUAGCACCUAUCCCAGCCCAUCAAUGUUGUAUAUGGCAACAGAUUCAAAAGCCCAGACUAAAACAUACUCACCAUCCAUGUUACCAGCUCUCACCAUGGGGCAGCAAUGUGGAUUUAGUAAGCAUAGCCCACGGGCACUCAUUUUGAAGACACUAGGAGAACUUCAAAGCCAGGUUUGUUCUUCUGCCUCUGGUGACAUUUUUAAAAUUUCAGCACUGUUUUUUUUUUUAAUUGAUUCUUUGUGAAUUUCAUAUCAUGCACCUCAGUCCUGCACAUCUCCUGUCCCCUCCCUCCCUCCAACCUCCACCCUUCCCCAACAAAGAAAAAUAAGUCCCCACUAUGGAAGCUGUAGUGUGCCAUCGUGUGUCCUUUUGUCCACACUUCUUUGCUUGCAAGUGCUCAUUGCAUUGACUUUGUUGGUCUGGUACGAGUCAGGCCUCUGGCUUCUGCUAUGCUAACGAUGCUAGAACCUUACUGAGACUCCUCUAGGGUAGACUGUUGUCACCCCGUGUGUCAUGGAGACCCUGUAGUUUUGGAUCUGCAGGACUGGCUUCUUCACGUACUCCAGCAGUUCAUUGAUGGGAUAGACGUGGGGUGGGCUAACUCAAAGCCCUGGAUCUGGGCCUGAGAGGUGUCUGAGCUGCUCAGCCCACCAGCUCUCCAGUUCUUGUGGCCUUUGGAUUGGCUCGCCAGCAACCCCCUCUCCCAGGGCUAGCUCUCCUGGCUGACCAGGUCGGUCCUUAUAUUUGCUUUAGGAACCUGACAAGACUGACUAGCCAUCUCUAGCAUUCAGAUAGGUGGAACUUCAUUGUGCUGAAGUUAUGUUUGAGCACCCUCUGCUGGACAAAUCAGGUAAGUACAGGAUUUUUUUUUUUUUUUUUGGUCUUGUGCCUUUUAAAUUCAUGCUCCGAAGAAGAGAAGAUUUUUAUCUCGAAUCUACACUAAAAGAAGUCUCCUCUUUAAACAGAUGCUCUAUGACUACCAACAAUGUACCAGUGGUAUUCGUCUCUUGCAGAUCUGGAAGAAAAUGAAAUUUAGAUGUGAGCGAGCAGUCUCCUUCCUGCUGCUGCAGCUGCAAGCUGCUCCUGCCGCCCAUGCCUUCUCUACUGCCAUGCCUUCCCUACCACAAGGGCCAGAACUCUCACACUGAAAGCCAGAAUAAAUCCUUCCUCUCUUCGGUUGGUUGUUGUCAGGUAAUUGGUCCCAACCAUGGUAAAGCUUAGUGGAAAAGAAAAAAAAGGUAAAAAUCUAUUGUAGACUGAGUGCCCUGAAUCAGAAAACACACAGUCCAGCUGCUCUGAAAUCUAAGCAUCAUCGUGACACUACAAAGAGAAAACUCCAUAUCUGACCACACAUGAGAAUCUACUGAUGAAUACAACCAUGGGUUUACUAAAAAAAGGUGUAUAAAAUGAUCUUCAAGCUGCUCGUAUAAGAUAGGUAUGAAGUGUAAAUUGAAUUUUGGGUCUGACCCCCUAACAUAUUUUCCUGCGUGAAUACAAAUUCCCUCAAGUCCAAAUAACCCCACACUUGGGCGUUUCAGAUAGGGGAUACCCAAUCUGUAAGCCGUUUACUGCCAUAGAGAAGCUAUGAUGCAAGCAGAGCCUACUAACAACUUGGCCAAAACACUUCUAAUAACAGAACUUCACAUGGGUUUCCAUGAGGUCAGAAUGGAAGUAGGAGGAUACAUUGUUUGACGUCAUGGUAUCUGUCCAAUUAAGGUCUGUGUGAGCCUUCCAUCACCAUAACAAAACACAGAACAGAAUCAGCUUUUUAAGGGGGCUUAUUUUGGAUUAUGGUUGCAUAGGAAGAUAUAUAGAUAGGAUCUCCAUGCCAAUAUUUUUAAUGGGUGCUGUCUCUAUUGCUCUGGGCAGGAGAAGGCAGCAGCUGGCAUCAAUGGUGUGGUGAGGAGAGAAUCAAGUUUCCUUCUCCAGUUCAAACAGACGAAAGUGAAGCGACAUAGGCUCAAGGACAGGGUCACUGGGCUAGCGCCACACCAUGGAGCCAAACCCCGAGCCUUCUAAAUUGUGAGCUGGGCAUGGUGGUUCACCCCAGGAAUCGCAGCACUGAGGGAUGAAGGCGAGAGAGUCACUGUGGGUGUGACAUCAGUCUGGCCUGAAGUCUGAGACUGUUUUUUUAAAAAGAAAACAUUUUUUUAUGUCAUAUAUUUAAUUAUAUAAAGAUUCUGUUGUUUUGUUGUUGUUGUUGUUAAAAUUCAGCCAGGAAAUUUCCAUCUGUCUGGUGUUAAUUGGUUGUUUUUCAGCACUAAUUGGGAAAUGAUAUAUUUUUAUUGUUUUAUAAAUAGAGUAAAACCCCUCAGAAACUGCUGGGGAAAUUUAAACAAGGAAAGCAAUUCUAUGUCCUUGCUUGACACCAGUUUGUCCCAGAGGUGACACAACUGUGUAGUUUUUGAAAACACUGGGCAUUUAUAUAUAUAUGAGACAAAACCCCACUGUAUAGCCCUGGCUAACUCGAAACUCACUAUGUAAAUCAGGCUGGGCUUUGACACACAGAGCUCUGCCUUUGCCUACUCAGUGUUGGGAUUUAACACCCACACCACCAUAGCCAGCCUUCUCUCCAAGGGGCAAAUUUCUUUCUGAAGCAACUUCCUCAUUUAUUAACAGUAUUGCUUCCAGACCCCGUGUGUGUGUGUGUGUGUGUGUGUGUGUGUGUGUGUGUGUGUACAGAUAUGUGUUUGCAAGUAUUUAGACACAAGUUGAUGCAGACUACACCAGUUUCAUGAAAUUGUUCCCAUGUCAGUGGCUAGUCUGAGCCUUUUGUACUUGUAAACAGCUGGCUGUAAACUGGGGAUUCCCAUACUCUCCUCUUCAGCCCCAUAAUUAUCAUGGUGAUUUGCAACCUGUAGGUAAUGACCCGUUUGGCUCAUAUAUCAGAUAUUCUGCAUGUCAGAUAUUUAUAUUUUGAUUCAUAACAAUAGUAAAAUUAUAGUUAUGAAGUAGUAAUGUAAAUAGUUACACUGUGGGGGUCACCACAACACGAGGAACUGUGUUAAAUGGCUUCAGCAAUAGGAAGGUUGAGAGCCACUGAUUUAUUAGGUCAUUUCAUGGAUCGUGGGGAUGCUUUCUACUUUCAUCUAUUGUUUAUUACAAAAGAUGUAGACAGACAGAUAGAUAGACAGACUCACAGAUAAAUAGAAAAAUAGAUGACAGAAAGAUAGAAAGUUAGGUAAAAAGAUAAAAAGAUAGGUAGAUGCUAGAAAGAUAGAUAGACUCAAAGACAAAUAGAAAGAUAGAUAAUAGAGAAAGGUGGAAAGAAAAAUAGAUAGAUGAUGGAAAGAUAGGUAGAUAGACUGACAGAAUGA